CCUACGGGAGGCAGCAGUGAGGAAUAUUGGUCAAUGGGCGCGAGCCUGAACCAGCCAAGUAGCGUGAAGGAUGACUGCCCUACGGGUUGUAAACUUCUUUUAUAAAGGAAUAAAGUGAUGCACGUGUGCCUUUUUGUAUGUACUUUAUGAAUAAGGAUCGGCUAACUCCGUGCCAGCAGCCGCGGUAAUACGGAGGAUCCGCGCGUUAUCCGGAUUUCUUGGGGUUAAAGGGUGCGUAGAUGGGUUGUUAAGUCAGUUGUGAAAGUUUGCGGCUCAACCGUAAAAUUGCAAUUGAUACUGGCAGCCUUGAGUACAGUUGAGGUAGGUGGAAUUCGUGGUGUAGCGGUGAAAUGCAUAGAUAUCACGAAGAACUCCGAUUGCGAAGGCAGCUUACUAAACUGCCACUGACAUUGAUGCUCGAAAGUGUGGGUAUCGAACAGGAUUAGAUACCCCUGUAGUC
rnacentral:rRNA from 1 species